rnacentral:rRNA from 1 species
GACGAACCGUGCGAACGUUGUUCGGAAUCACUGGGCUUAAAGGGCGCGUAGGCGGGCUGUCAAGUCUGGGGUGAAAUGCCGCGGCUCAACCGAGGAACUGCGCUUGAAACUACCAGACUCGAGGGAGAUAGAGGAAAGCGGAACUGAUGGUGGAGCGGUGAAAUGCGUUGAUAACAUCAGGAACACCGGUGGCGAAGGCGGCUUUCUGGGUCUUACCUGACGCUGAGGAACGAAAGCUAGGGGAGCGAACGGG